GAGCAUCGAUGCCACAACACUCGGCAACGA
rnacentral:sRNA from 1 species